GACGUAGGGCGCGAGCGUUGUCCGGAUUUAUUGGGCGUAAAGAGCUCGUAGGCGGCUUGUUGCGUCGUCCGUGAAAACCUGGGGCUCAACUCCAGGCUUGCGGUCGAUACGGGCAGGCUAGAGUUCGGUAGGGGAGACUGGAAUUCCUGGUGUAGCGGUGAGAUGCGCAGAUAUCAGGAAGAACACCAAUGGCGAAAGCAGCUUUCUGGGACGGUACUGACGCUGAGACGCGAAAGCGUGGGGAGCGAACAGG
rnacentral:rRNA from 1 species